rnacentral:rRNA from 1 species
AGGGUUUGAUCCUGGCUCAGGACGAACGCUGGCGGCGUGCUUAACACAUGCAAGUCAAGGAGAAAGUUUCUUUAGGGGGAUGAGUAAACUGGCGCACGGGUGAGUAAAAUGUAAGUAAUCUGCCCUUUGGAUGGGAAUAACUACUAGAAAUGGUGGCUAAUACCGAAUAAUGCAGCGGCACCGAGUGGUGAUGUUGUUAAAGACCGAAAGGUUGCCAAGGGAUGAGCUUGCAUCUGAUUAGCUAGUUGGCGGGGUAAAGGCCCACCAAGGCAACGAUCAGUAGCUGGUCUGAGAGGACGAUCAGCCACACUGGAACUGAGACACGGUCCAGACUCCUACGGGAGGCAGCAGUGAGGAAUAUUGGGCAAUGGCCGUAAGGCUGACCCAGCAACGCCGCGUGGAGGAAGAAGGCCGUAAGGUUGUAAACUCCUGUUAGAGGGGACGAAAAAGCGGGGCAGCACCCUGCAUUGACUGUACCCUCAGAGAAAGCCCCGGCUAACUACGUGCCAGCAGCCGCGGUAAUACGUAGGGGGCAAGCGUUGUCCGGAUUCACUGGGUGUAAAGGGCGCGUAGGCUGUUAAAUAAGUCAGAGGUGAAAUCUCACGGCUCAACCGUGAAACUGCCUUUGAUACUGUUUAACUUGAGUAUGGAAGAGAGAGACGGAAUUCCAGGUGUAGUGGUGAAAUACGUAGAUAUCUGGAAGAACACCAGAGGCGAAGGCGGUCUCUUGGUCCAUAACUGACGCUGAGGCGCGAAAGCGUGGGGAGCGAACAGGAUUAGAUACCCUGGUAGUCCACGCUGUAAACGAUGAAUGCUAGGUGUUGGGUGCAAACUCAGUGCCGACGCAAACGCAAUAAGUAUUCCACCUGGGGAGUACGAUCGCAAGGUUGAAACUCAAAGGAAUUGACGGGGGCCCGCACAAGCAGUGGAGCAUGUGGUUUAAUUCGAUUCAACGCGAAGAACCUUACCUGGGCUUGAAAGGCAUAUGACGUUAUGUGAAAGCAUAAUUCCCUUCGGGGCAUAUGUACAGGUGCUGCAUGGCUGUCGUCAGCUCGUGCCGUGAGGUGUUGGGUUAAGUCCCGCAACGAGCGCAACCCCUACCAUUAGUUGCCAUCAGGUUAAGCUGGGCACUUUAAUGGGACUGCCUACGCAAGUAGUGAGGAAGGCGGGGAUGACGUCAAGUCAGCAUGGCCCUUACGCCCAGGGCCACACACGUGCUACAAUGGAUGUUACAACGGGAAGCCAAGCCGCGAGGUGGAGCCAAUCCCAAAAAAAGCAUCCCCAGUUCGGAUUGGAGUCUGCAACUCGACUCCAUGAAGUUGGAAUUGCUAGUAAUCGCGCAUCAGCACGGCGCGGUGAAUACGUUCCCGGGCUUUGUACACACCGCCCGUCAAGCCAUGGAAGCCGGGGGUACCCGAAGUCAGUGACCCAACCGCAAGGAGGGAGCUGCCGAAGGUAAAACCGGUAACUGGGGCUAAGUCGUAACAAGGUA